GAUGAACGCUGGCGGCGUGCCUAAUACAUGCAAGUCGAGCGAACGGACGAGAAGCUUGCUUCUCUGAUGUUAGCGGCGGACGGGUGAGUAACACGUGGAGAACCUACCUAUAAGACUGGGAUAACUUCGGGAAACCGGAGCUAAUACCGGAUAAUAUUUUGAACCGCAGGGUUCAAAAGUGAAAGACGGUCUUGCUGUCGAUGAUAGAUGGAUCCGCGCUGCAUUAGCUAGUUGGUAAGGUAACGGCUUACCAAGGCAACGAUGCAUAGCCGACCUGAGAGGGUGAUCGGCCACACUGGAACUGAGACACGGUCCAGACUCCUACGGGAGGCCGCAGUAGGGACUCUUCCGCAAUGGGCGAAAGCCUGACGGAGCAACGCCGCGUGAGUGAUGAAGGUCUUCGGAUCGUAAAACUCUGUUAUUAGGGAAGAACAUAUGUGUAAGUAACUGUGCACAUCUUGACGGUACCUAAUCAGAAAGCCACGGCUAACUACGUG
rnacentral:rRNA from 1 species